rnacentral:piRNA from 1 species
AAGGCAAGUAGCAAGACGGCUCGAGCU